AUGACUUUGAUCUCCGUCCUCAUCUGGACUCUCCUCUGCUGCUGCUUCACAGAGUCCAGAGGCCAGUGCACAGUGACUCAGCCUGCAGCAGUGACAUCAACUCCAGGAGGAUCUGUCACUAUCAGAUGCAGGACCAGUCAGAAUGUUUAUGUUGAGAGCAACAAACACCAUUUAUCCUGGUUCCAACAGCGAAACGAAGAAACUCCUAAACGUCUCAUUUACUAUGCUACCACUCGAGCAUCAGGUAUUCCAGGUCGUUUUACAGGCAGUGGAUCAAACUCUGACUUCACUCUGACCAUCAGUGGAGUUCAGGCUGAAGAUGCAGCAGUUUAUUACUGUCUGAGUGAAUUCACUUUCAGUACUGGUUGUACAUUCACACAGUGA